rnacentral:misc_RNA from 1 species
GGAAGACAAGGCAUCUGAAUCAUUACAAACAAAAAUUGUGAACCAGGAUGACGACUUAUCAGAGACUUCCAUGGUGGAAUCUAUAUUUGGAAUGUACAUAUCUCCUGACGAUGUUGUUGCGAUAAUAGGUCAAAAACAUUUCUGGAAUGCCAGAAGAGCUAUUGCCACCCAGCAAAGAGCGUUUGCGGUUCAAGUUUUUGAGUUGCAUCGUCUAAUAAAGGUCCAGAGACUCAUAGCUAGUUCACAAAGCAUGCUUGAAGAUAGUGCUUAUUUAAGCAAAGCGGUAAAGGAUUCAUCUCCUAAAAAACUUCCAUUGGAGUAUAUCGCAAGAGAUGGUCACAAUGUUCCGAAGCAGAGGAAGAAUUUUGAGAAGCCAAACACUAGGAUGGAAUGUUCUGCGGAAAAUACAGAAGGCAAACCUGUGAAGGAUUCAUCUGCUAAAAGACUUCUGUUGGAGUAUAUUCCUAGAGAUGGUCACAAUGUUUCAAAGCAGAAGAAGGAUUUUGAGAAGCCUAACAUUAGUAUGGAAUGUUCGGCUGAAAACACGGUGGGAAAGGGAUCCUUCUCUUCUGUGCAAAAUAAUAGCCAGUCUUCAAGCUACAGUUUGUUUUCAGGUCACCCAAUAGCAAAUGACUCCACCAUGGGGGGUCCUUGGAGCUUCAAUCAACCCUCAGGGCACCAAUGGUUGAUCCCAGUCAUGACUCCUUCCGAAGGACUAGUAUACAAGCCAUAUCUUGGACCCGGAGUCACGAGUUCAAUCUGUGGAGGUUAUGGACCCCCAGGAUCAACUCCAAUAAUCGGAAACCAUUCAGCUCCAUCUUAUGGAAUUCCUGCUUCUCAUCAUCAGUAUCAAGGGGUCAGAAUGCCA